GGACUACCAGGGUUUCUAAUCCUGUUCGCUCCCCACGCUUUCGCGCCUCAGUGUCAGUAUCGGGCCAGGAAGUCGCCUUCGCCACUGGUGUUCCUUCCGAUAUCUACGCAUUUCACCGCUACACCGGAAAUUCCACUUCCCUCUCCCGUACUCUAGCUACUCAGUUUCAUAUGCAGUUCCUAGGUUAAGCCCAGGGAUUUCACAUUUGACUUAAGUAACCACCUACGCGCCCUUUACGCCCAGUAAUUCCGAUUAACGCUCGCACCCUCUGUAUUACCGCGGCGGCUGGCAC
rnacentral:rRNA from 2 species